UGGGGAAUAUUGGACAAUGGAGGAAACUCUGAUCCAGCCAUGCCGCGUGAGUGAUGAAGGCCUUAGGGUUGUAAAGCUCUUUUACCAGGGAAGAUGAUGACGGUACCUGGAGAAUAAGCACCGGCUAACUUCGUGCCAGCAGCCGCGGUAAUACGAAGGGUGCUAGCGUUGUUCGGAAUCACUGGGCGUAAAGCGUGCGUAGGCGGCUGUGCAAGCCAGAGGUGAAAUGCCGGAGCUUAACUCCGGAACUGCCUUUGGAACUGCACGGCUAGAGUGUCGGAGGGGAUAGGGGAAUUUCUAAUGUAGCGGUGAAAUGCGUAGAUAUUAGAAGGAACACCGGUGGCGAAGGCGCCUAUCUGGACGACAACUGACGCUGAGGCACGAAAGCGUGGGGAUCAAA
rnacentral:rRNA from 1 species